AUUGAACGCUGGCGGCAGGCCUAACACCUGAAAGUCGAACGAGUGGCGGACGGGUGAGUCAUGUCUGGGAAACUGCCAGAUGGAGGGGGAUAACUACUGGAAACGGUCGCUAAUACCGCAUACCAUCAGAUGUGCCCAGAUGGGAAUAGCUUGUUGGUGGGGUAACGGCUCACCAAUGCGACGAUCCCUAGCUGGUCUGAGAGGAUGACCAGCCACAAUGGAACUGAGACACGGUCCAGAGUCCUACGUGAGGCAGCAGUGGUGAAUAUUGAACAAUGGGCGCAAGCCUGAUGCAGCCAUGCCGCGUGUAUGAAGAAGGCCUUCGGGUUGUAAAGUACUUUCAGCGGGGAGGCGUUACCCGCAGAAGAAGCACCGGCUAACUACGUGCCAGCAGCCGCGGUAAUAC
rnacentral:rRNA from 1 species